rnacentral:lncRNA from 1 species
AGGGAAGAGUCUGGUAACAAGAUCUAGAAUCUUACAAAUGCAUUUGGUAAUGAAACAAUCAGGGAUAUGUAUAGGAUUAUGUACAAGAGCAGUCAUCUACCAUUGCUUGCACAAGUGAAAACUGCAAAUACUUCAAAAGUUCAAAAAUUUAGGGGCUAGUUUAACAAAUUAUAGCCAUACAGCCAUUAAAAAUGAUUACAUAAUCUGACUUAUCUGCAAAGAUAGGAGGCAGUAUUUGGAGACCAUACAUGCUCACAUUUUCCUUUAAAAAAAAACAAAAAAAAAAACCUUCACGUGUAUAUAUGAAAAAUCUUCAAGUUUACACAGCACUACGUUAGUAUGGUUAUAUCUGAGUGAUGAGGUUGUGGAUGAGUUUAACUUUUUUCACAUACGUUUAUGUACUUACUAUUGGGCAGUUUUGCUGGGAGCAGGCUUUUUUUUUUUUUUUUUUAAGUUUUUCUUCUUAAAAAAGUCACAAAAUACCAGUAAACUACUUCUUUGCGAAGGAAAACGGGCAUCUUGUGUGCAUCCCGCCGGGGACGGGGGCUGAAAGAAGCGUCCCCACAGGCGCGACCACGGCGACCGGAAACACGCCAGGAGGGCCCGCGGGGAUUCUGGGUAUGCAACGGACCCCGCGUUACCUCACGACGAAGAAACUGUUACCAUUUAAAAGGAAAAGUAACUUCGCUACAUAACAUCUACUAUUAACGCAGUCUAGGAAGGUUUUAUCCUGAAAUGCGUGCGGAGGAGGCUAGAGGGUGAAGGUUUUUUUCUCGGAAAUUACAGUCUUCCUCAACUCCCGCCUCCUCUCCACCCGGCGCUUCCCGUCACUUUGGAGGGACUCGAAGCCGUCCCAGGCCAUUUCUAUGGGUGACGACUUGUGGACUACCGUGAAGGUAAAGGCCCCGCGCCGACUAUUGUGAGCUAUUAACGCCCGGAAAAGCAGACGGUGAGCGGCGGAGUCUGGGCGUAGAGGCGAGGCACACUCUGAUUGGCCAGCGGCUCCCGGGUGCUGCGCAAUGGGUGUGGGUGCCAGGCAGGGCUCGGCGGGGCGGUGCGUUGCGCCCGCGCGUGCGCACCAGGUACCCCCUGCGCCUGCCCUUCUCUGUCGUGCCCGCGUGGGCGCGCCAGUGGCGGAACUUGGGCUUGAUUAAGGCGAUCCCUACGAGUGGAGGAGCAAGCCAUUAUAGAAGCAACGUGUAUCCCAAGCAUCAAGACUGGCACCUCCAAGCUCCUUCCCCCUGGAACUUUACUCAACAUUUCAGCAUCAGGCCAUUAUAGCUUUGAAUUGUGCCUUUGAGCAUCUCUGUUUUUGCAUCCAUUAACAAGAUGUGUCCUAAGGUAAUUGUGUCUUCCCUUUAUGCCAUUUUGGUUUAGGAAAAGUUUCAUAGGAUUGCUCUCCUUUUGGAUAGUGGAGGCAGGAAACCUGUAAGUUAUACUUCAGAACUUCAGAAAGUCUCUGUAAAGC